rnacentral:misc_RNA from 1 species
GAUGAAGAACGUAGCGAAAUGCGAUAAGUAGUGUGAAUUGCAGAAUUCAGUGAAUCAUCGAAUCUUUGAACGCACAUUGCGCCCCUUGGUAUUCCAUGGGGCAUGCCUGUUCGAGCGUCAUUUGUACCUUCAAGCUUUGCUUGGUGUUGGGUGUUUGUCCCGAGGGACUCGCCUUAAAGUAAUUGGCAGCCAGUGUUUGGUUUUGAAGCGCAGCACAAGUCGCGAUUCAAGGCUACACGCCCACUUCCACAAGCCUUUUUUCACUUUUGACCUCGGAUCAGGUAGGGAUACCCGCUGAACUUAAGCAUAUCAAUAAGCGGAGGA